GAUUAAGUUAUUAAGGGCGCACGGUGGAUGCCUUGGCACUAGAAGCCGAUGAAGGACGUUACUAACGACGAUAUGCUUUGGGGAGCUGUAAGUAAGCUUUGAUCCAGAGAUUUCCGAAUGGGGAAACCCAGCAUGAGUUAUGUCAUGUUAUCGAUAUGUGAAUACAUAGCAUAUCAGAAGGCACACCCGGAGAACUGAAACAUCUUAGUACCCGGAGGAAGAGAAAGAAAAUUCGAUUCCCUUAGUAGCGGCGAGCGAAACGGGAAGAGCCCAAACCAACAAGCUUGCUUGUUGGGGUUGUAGGACACUCUAUACGGAGUUACAAAGGACGACAUUAGACGAAUCAUCUGGAAAGAUGAAUCAAAGAAGGUAAUAAUCCUGUAGUCGAAAAUGUUGUCUCUCUUGAGUGGAUCCUGAGUACGACGGAGCACGUGAAAUUCCGUCGGAAUCUGGGAGGACCAUCUCCUAAGGCUAAAUACUCUCUAGUGACCGAUAGUGAACCAGUACCGUGAGGGAAAGGUGAAAAGCACCCCGGAAGGGGAGUGAAAUAGAACCUGAAACCGUGUGCUUACAAGUAGUCAGAGCCCGUUAAUGGGUGAUGGCGUGCCUUUUGUAGAAUGAACCGGCGAGUUACGAUUUGAUGCAAGGUUAAGCAGUAAAUGUGGAGCCGUAGCGAAAGCGAGUCUGAAUAGGGCGUUUAGUAUUUGGUCGUAGACCCGAAACCAGGUGAUCUACCCUUGGUCAGGUUGAAGUUCAGGUAACACUGAAUGGAGGACCGAACCGACUUACGUUGAAAAGUGAGCGGAUGAACUGAGGGUAGCGGAGAAAUUCCAAUCGAACCUGGAGAUAGCUGGUUCUCUCCGAAAUAGCUUUAGGGCUAGCCUCAAGUGAUGAUUAUUGGAGGUAGAGCACU
rnacentral:rRNA from 1 species